CCAGACUCCUACGGGAGGCAGCAGUGAGGAAUAUUGGUCAAUGGGCGCGAGCCUGAACCAGCCAAGUCGCGUGAGGGAAGACGGUCCUAUGGAUUGUAAACCUCUUUUGUCGGGGAGCAAAAGCCGGACGUGUCCGGCUGUGAGAGUACCCGAAGAAAAAGCAUCGGCUAACUCCAUGCCAGCAGCCGCGGUAAUACGGAGGAUGCGAGCGUUAUCCGGAUUUAUUGGGUUUAAAGGGUGCGCAGGCGGUCUGGAAAGUCGGGGGGAAACGCGGGGGCCCCGACCCCGGCCCGCCGUUGAAACUGGCAGUCUCGAGUUGGAGAGAAGUAUGCGGAAUGCGCGGUGUAGCGGUGAAAUGCAUAGAUAUCGCGCAGAACUCCGAUUGCGAAGGCAGCAUGCCGGCUCCACACUGACGCUGAGGCACGAAAGCGUGGGUAUCGAACAGGAUUAGAUACCCGAGUAA
rnacentral:rRNA from 1 species